CCCGUCCUGUUUACUUUCAGAUACUUCUGCCCUUUUGGACUUGGAAACCAAAUUAAAGGAAGCGCGGAAGACCGCCGGAAGUAAUGCGUUGUAUUAUGCUGGAAUGUUUCUGUGGCUCCUAAAUAAAAAUGAUAAAGCAAAGGAGUAUGUUGACAGAAUGCUGAAAGUGUCUAAUGGAGCAAGAGAGGGACUAGUUUUGAAAGGAUGGAUAUAUGUUACCAGUGACAAAGCUCAUGCUGCUAAGAAGGCUAUAAAAUAUUUGGAUGAAGGGAUUCAAGACAAUACAGAAAUAUUUGGGAUGAUGGGAAAGGCAAAAUAUUUCAUGGUGCAACAGAAUUACUCCGGAGCUCU